GACACACCCAGAAACAAUACCAGCUAUCUAGGCAUCCUUCAAUGCAAUCAAGUUGACACCUAAUAUUAACCAUCACGAACAGCUUCCUCAGCUCAGUGUUUCAGGAGCAGUGCACAUCACAACAAGACUUUCUAAUACCCCAAAAUGUAGGUACUAGCUAAAAGAGGAUUAACCAUCUUUUUUAAAAUUCAGUGGUGCCACUUCUCUGUGAAGAGGCUGCAGGGAAAGGGCCACAGAAUAAAAUGGAAACUCAGACUGAAUUUGCAGAAAAAGAAGGAGCUGGGAGAAAACUGCAGACCUCUCAGCACAUAAUGGCUCCAUCCAAAUCGCUGCACUAAGAGACCUGACCAAACUCUAGCUUGGCUACCAGCAGCUUAAGGCCAUGACCCCAGUCCCGCUUAAAAUGCCUGCCUGAGAAAGCUCCAUGCUACCAAAAUUUAUUCCAGACCAAACCAGGUGAUAGGCAGAUAGGCCCCUGGACUCUCGCUUAGAAUAGUUACUUUAAAAAGGUUGCAAUUACACAUCCUUUGCCCUUUGAGAUGCAAAGUGACCCCCCAGAGCUGUUUUCUCAAGAACCCAAGAGCUGGCUUUUUGAAAUCCAUUCAGGGAAUCAACUCUUGCUCCCAGUCCCUGUGACAGGGAACAUUUGAGCUGGGUUUGGACCACUGUAACAUUUAGACUCCUACAGGAGAUGUACUGUUGCCAUGGCAAUCCUGCUCCCUAACAAAGGAACUGCAGGCUCAGGCUUUUGGUGUCUGCUUGUCUGAGUAACGAAUGAGGCAAAGCUACCAUCGGGAUGACCUUAAGGCAGGCAGAAGAUACAGCGGUGCAUAGGAGGCUUGACUGACCUUGGAUAUCUCGUCCCAGACAUUCCCCUCACCUGGCAGCGGGGUGCACCCUGCGUGCACAGCAUCCUCCUCCUACGCUUAGGUCCAUCUGGAUGUAGAGUCCCUCCUGGGAAAAGGGGAACUGCCAGAAAGAGACACCUGCCCCUCACUCGUCACCAAAUGCAGGUUCCUGGGGAAAAUGAUGCUAGUAAGACCUGCCUCUGGGUUUCCUAAGCAGCAGAACAGCUCCCUCGCUGCAAUCCAUUGAAAGUCAGUCCUGGACACCAGGGUUUGUCCACCCAUAUGGAGGCUCCAAGCAUCUAUGCAUCCAUCCCUCUCGAUCCCUAGGACUUCGGACCCGGAGCCACACUGUGGGGCGGCAGUGAUCAGGAAAGGUAUUCAGUUGACCAGAGAUGAUAAAGAGGGUUUCCAGGCCAAUGAAUUGUCUCAAUUCACUGGUGAGCACAGGAAGGCCGUGAGCAGCCACCAGCCUGGAGAGCCUAUCCACAUCUCCACAGUGAUCUGCUCCAAAUGCUCAGGACUGAAUCCAGACCCUCCCUCAUUUUUGACACCCACUUCCAAGUUAGGGUCAACAGGGGAAGCCAAAUACACUGACCCUCAUGGAUCAUGUGGAACGCACCUCUUCUUGUCAGUCUGCUUCCAGCCAUUCCCAGAUCAGCCCGCUCCCAGCAGGAUGCACCCUCCUCUUUUCCUACCAUAAAGCUUUCCUACUCCUCUGCCUGCCUUUGAGUCUCUGCCAAGCACAAGCUGUUGUGGUGGCUGCCUCUUACAAUAGAGAGCGAGCUCUCGAUUAAUAAAUGUUGUUCUCAUGUGGGUGA